rnacentral:rRNA from 1 species
GACGAACGCGGCGGCGUGCUUAACACAUGCAAGUCGAACGAUGAAGCCUAGCUUGCUAGGUGGAUUAGUGGCGAACGGGUGAGUAAUACGUGAGUAACCUACCUUUAACUCUGGGAUAAGCCCGGGAAACUGGGUCUAAUACCGGAUACGACCAAUCUCCGCAUGGGGUGUUGGUGGAAAGCGUUAUGUAGUGGUUAUAGAUGGGCUCACGGCCUAUCAGCUUGUUGGUGAGGUAACGGCUCACCAAGGCGACGACGGGUAGCCGGCCUGAGAGGGUGACCGGCCACACUGGGACUGAGACACGGCCCAGACUCCUACGGGAGGCAGCAGUGGGGAAUAUUGCACAAUGGGCGCAAGCCUGAUGCAGCGACGCCGCGUGAGGGAUGACGGCCUUCGGGUUGUAAACCUCUGUUAGCAGGGAAGAAGAGAGAUUGACGGUACCUGCAGAGAAAGCGCCGGCUAACUACGUGCCAGCAGCCGCGGUAAUACGUAGGGCGCGAGCGUUGUCCGGAAUUAUUGGGCGUAAAGAGCUUGUAGGCGGUUUGUCGCGUCUGCUGUGAAAGGCCGGGGCUUAACUCCGUGUAUUGCAGUGGGUACGGGCAGACUAGAGUGCAGUAGGGGAGACUGGAAUUCCUGGUGUAGCGGUGGAAUGCGCAGAUAUCAGGAAGAACACCGAUGGCGAAGGCAGGUCUCUGGGCUGUAACUGACGCUGAGAAGCGAAAGCAUGGGGAGCGAACAGG